GAAAUGCGAUAAGUAAUGUGAAUUGCAGAAUUCAGUGAAUCAUCGAAUCUUUGAACGCAUAUUGCGCCCUCUGGUAUUCCGGGGGGCAUGCCUGUUCGAGCGUCAUUUAAUACCCUCAAGCAUAGCUUGGUAUUGGGCUUUCAUCUUUUAAAAUUGAUGGGCCUAAAAACUAGUGGCGAUUGCCUUCUUAAGGCCUUUCAAGCGUAGUAAAAUUUUCUCGUCUUGAUAAAAAGGUUUAGAUGAGUUAUCUGCCAAAAGAAAACCGUUUUUAAAGGUUGACCUCGGAUCAGGUAGGGAUACCCGCUGAACUUAA
rnacentral:misc_RNA from 1 species